rnacentral:misc_RNA from 1 species
GAACGCACAUUGCGCCCCUUGGUAUUCCGAGGGGCAUGCCUGUUCGAGCGUCAUUAUAACCACUCAAGCCUCGGCUUGGUCUUGGGGUUCGCGGUCUCGCGGCUCUUAAAAUCAGUGGCAGUGCCGUCUGGCUCUAAGCGUAGUAAUUCUCUCGCUAUAGAGUUCCGGUGGUUACUUGCCAAAACCCCUAAUUUUUUUAACGGUUGACCUCGGAUCAGGUAGGGAUACCCGCUGAACUUAAG